GACGAAGGAUGCAAGCGUUAUCCGGAUUCAUUGGGUUUAAAGGGAGCGUAGGUGGCCUUAUAAGUCAGUGGUGAAAUCUCUCGGCUUAACCGAGAAAUUGCCAUUGAUACUGUAGGGCUUGAGUACAGUUGCUGUGGGCGGAAUAUGACAUGUAGUGGUGAAAUACAUAGAGAUGUCAUAGAACACCGAUUGCGAAGGCAGCUCGCUGGGACGUGACUGACGCUGAGACGCGAAAGCGUGGGGAGCAAACAGG
rnacentral:rRNA from 1 species